ACUGACCUUAUCUCUUCAGAUUCUUUAGGUUGGGAUCCACUAAGAACAAACGCCAAGCACUGACCAACACUUUACCGGGAGUUAGGAGAUGCUCGGUAUAAUAGAGAAUGAACCCACCUUAUUAAGUGGUCCUCUAGACAGGCUCCUCUUUUCUCCCCAGCAGGAAAGCAAAGGCCCAUGGGGAGGCUGGCUAGUUGUGAAAUGACAUACAUUUCAAAAUUGUUUUCCAGAUAUCCCUCAACAACUUCUUUCUCUCCUGAAGUGUGAAAUUUAAUUACCCAUGUUAGACAUGCAUUCGUGAUCACAUAUUUUUAUUGCCUAAAACUCUUCAGUCUUUUAAAAUGUAAGGACAGAAUCCCAGUUACAGAAAAAUCUUUGACAUCGGAGAUUUGUACAAGAAAUGAUUUACUGGAGGAGCUGCUAGACAUGUAAUGCCCCGGAGUGACAUAUCUACAAGCAAGGGGGACGCAGCUCUGAGCAGAAGGCCUCAGAACAGAGCAAACAAACAGGAGAUGUUUCCUGAUGCCCUGUACAAGAAGAUGUAAGACAGGAACAUAAAGGAGCACACAAUCCAAGAGGGACUGAAUACCGACAGAAGAGACUGCUUUUCUUCUACUGUGGAAUAUUAACAUUUGUCAUAAGAACAAUGCUACCAAAAAACAAAAGAUCAAGGGCGAAUUAAUUUCCACAGGUUUGGGAUAGCCAGAUAAUUCUUGAUUGGUGGGAGUAGGCAUAUGAAGAAAUUUCUAGCCUCUGGUGUCUAUAAACACAGUAGACAUUAGAUUCUUUAAUUAACAUGGAUUAGAACAAUACGUAAACUUUUGUAAGCAAGGAAAUUGAUUCAAAUUGAAGUACCUGGCUUUGGGGAAAGAAGUGUGCCGACUAGGUCUUUAUGACUGCAGAACAGGAAAUGAAGAAGAGAAAAAUGAAAGUCAAAUCAAGGACAACAUAGGACAAGUUUUCUGAGCUAUGAGGACAAGGGGGCCUUUAUUUUUAGUCAUGACCUGGAGCAUUAGUAAAAUGUACAUUGUUUGUAAACAACUCAUUUAUGUCAUGCUCAAAAGAACUUCCUUUGAAGGAAUAAUUGAUUACACUAUAAAAACGGUCUGAUUGCCAAGUCUGCCAACAGACUUCCUGGGUGCCCCUUUUGCCUCAUGACACCAUGGACAUCACUGCUUUGGAAUGUGUGGGUUGUUGAUGCACUGCCCCACAUAGUGGUCAUUAAACUGUCUUCAUCUCUUCAUAACUCUAAGAGAACUUCUAGGUGGGCUAUCAGACUAACCAAGCAUAGGUCACAUGUCCACCCCUAGUUUUCUAGAACAUAUAUCCAGCCUUCUGUAUACCAACUACAGGUGUCUCCAAAUAAGAAAGGGAAUUCAUUAGGUGAUCAAGUAAAUUCAACAAACGUUCAUUGCAGUAUUACAGAUAACACCAUAGACUGGUGGCAGGUCGAAAGAGUAGAGGCAAUUUCUAAGGAAGAAUGCUCAAUGUCUCUAUGAGGGGAGGAAAGAAUGUAAGGGAGGGAGAGACGGAGAGAGCGAUAAGCAUGAGCAUUAUUGUCAGGAAAUCACUUAUACAUUUCAUUUGCAUGUGUACUCAGAGUGUAUAAAUGCAUAUUCAAAUUACAUGUCAUAUGUAAAUAGGCAGCUGUAACUUUUGUUAUAAAAAUUUGUAUUUAAAGAAUUUUGGUAGCUUAUUUGGUGGCAGUUAUUAACUCUUUGUAGUCAACAUGGAGCCAAAUAAUUUAAUUCUUUUCUGCGUGACUAGGUCUGAGGUUUCAAUGAGAAUAAUAUGUUAUAUAAUGUACAUAAGCAGGAUCAAAAGAGUUUAUGUACAACCCUAAUGUGUCUUUAGACUAUUCUACACAGAAAGUACCAAGGAUACAAUAAAAUAAUGCUCAAAGCAGAGUCCACAAUCUCUAUUAGCAUUGACAUGGUCAUUUUAGCACAGCUAAGCAGCUUUGUGGCUAUAAAUUUGAAUCUUAGAGAGACAAGCAAAGCGUUGUUACUACUUUCUAAUUUGAACAGAAUGUGAAGUUGAUGGCAAGUGAAAACUCACAAAUACGCCUGGAAAAUUUAUAACAUGAAACAUUUCAGCCAUUGCCAAUAUUUAAAGGUUAUGUCCAUCAUGUUGGGAAGAGGCAAAAGUUUUCACCCUUUCCAAAUAA
rnacentral:sRNA from 1 species